rnacentral:rRNA from 1 species
AUGGAUGGCCGAAUACUGUUGGUAAAGCAUGUGCUCUCUGCUAUGGUGGUGUUUCAGAUGAUGGUCAUUGAGAUGCCUGCGUGGCUGCGGAAAAGAAUCGACAAACUCAGAAGGGGUUUCCUUUGGGAAGGAAAAGAAUUUGCAGUGGGGGGCAAGUGUUUGGUUAGCUGGCGCAUCAUUUGCAGGCCAAUCAAAUUUGGAGGGCUGGGGAUGACAGACCUGAGUGCGCAGAGCACAGCGCUGAGGAUGAGGUGGUUGUGGCUUUCAUGGACGGACCCGAGCAGAGCCUGGUUGGGACUA